CUACGGGUGGCAGCAGUCGAGAAUAUUCCGCAAUGGGCGAAAGCCUGACGGAGCGACGCCGCGUGCAGGAAGAAGGCCUUAGGGUUGUAAACUGCUUUUGCGUGGGAUGAACUCUGACAGUACCACGAGAAUAAGGGGUUGCUAACUCUGUGCCAGCAGCAGCGGUAAUACAGAGACCCCAAGCGUUAUCCGGAUUUACUGGGCGUAAAGCGUAAGCAGCCGGUUAAGUUAGUCUGAUGUUAAAUCUUCUUGCUCAACGAGGAGACCGCGUUGGAAACGGCUUAACUAGAGUGGGUGAGAGGUGUGUAGAAUGUGCGGUGUAGGGGUGAAAUCCGUUGAUAUUGCACAGAAUACCAAAAGCGAAAGCAGCACACUGGCGCCCUACUGACGGUCAGUUACGAAAGCGUGGGUAGCGAACGGGAUUAGAUACCCUGGUAGUC
rnacentral:rRNA from 1 species